GUCUGGACUUUUUCAAGGGUUAAAACAUGAUUUAAAAUAAGUCUGAACUUGAUUUAUUUUUUGGAUUGAGAGGGUUAUUUGAAGCAGUAGCAAAUAAUUCAUGCAGAAACACAAAAAAAGCACAGACUAGUCCUUUUUUUUCUGGUAAAAUGCCUGAAAAUUACCAGGAUUUAAUCUGUUCAGGUGAAGGUGCAGCUCCAUGUUUCGCCACAAGGGGGCGGCACUUCCUCUUUACAUGCAGCCCGUAAAAGUGAUGUUAAUGUAACAGGAUGAGAUUAAUAUUUUCUGCUCCUUAAUCACAGAGGAGCAGAGUGGUGCUUUCCCUGCUGAAUGUGUGUUUUUCUUAAACUGUAAAGUUUCUUAUUUACUACGACUUCCUUGUUUCUCUUUCAGUCAUUUUUCAGAUUGAAUAGAGUCUGCAGAAGUGACUUUGAACAGGAAAGCAGCAAAGAAAACAGAAAACAAAAGACGGAAACCGAGGAAUUGAACAUGGAGGAGCAAAGAAAUCUACAAACUACAGACGAGUAGAUUUGUGCGAGUGACUGAGAGUGAGUUUUGUUCAUGAAAAGAGAAGUGAUGCUGAAGUCAGUGAACAUGUUUGAACUCUCAGUGAUCAGACCGCACAGCUCACAUGUGCUCUCAGUCUGGUUCAGUCUGAUGAAGAUCAGUCCGCUCAUUAACUGCCUUUUUGUGGUUUCAGAGGAGAUCAAACGCUGAGAGUUCAGAUCGCACAGAGAGACUAAAACCACCAGAGAGGAACACGACUCUCAGUCUGAGGACACCUCUGCGGCACACCUGUCUGCAGGACUUUUACAACUAGAAUAAAGUGACAGAGUCCAGGACCCGAGGUCAACAGUCUUGUCCGGUCUACCUCCGUUUUAAGCGCCCGUUAUUCCUCCAGAGUCUCCGGUAUUUACUUUGUUUUCUCGCUUGUGUCGGCAGUCGUGGCCAAAGGAGGAUUCAGACAAUUUUCCGAACUUUCUGGUUGGUUUCUACUGUCCGAUAUUGUAGCACGCUAACUUUGUUUGGGCUCCUGAACGACACGAGGGAGCAGCGUCUGCCUCACAACCAAUCAGGUUAGAGGAGGUGGAGAACGGCUUUAUUUACAGUCAGAAAGGGCGGACCGCUCAAAAAUGUUCAAAUGUUGACGACACAGACAUAAGAGAACACAGAGAUAUCGAUAUAUUACCAAAUGUCAUCAAUAACUAAUAACUAUUGACUGAUAUUAAAAGCUCUUUUUUAAAACCCCACCUUUUGAAAAAAAUAAAAGUCUUUUCUUAUAGAAGCAGCAGGUCUUCACUCUGGAGGCGGUCAUGUUUUGUAAAAUAGUAAUAAUGAAAUAAAAACCUUCAUGAAUAACCAAGAAUAAAGUUCAUCUCAGGAUAAAACCCAAACUUCUCUGCAUGAUCUCUGAGAGGAAAACAGCGGAUGAGUGUUUUAACAGAGUGGAUUUGUCUUCUGCAGUGGAAGGAAGGAGAAACAUUCAUCUUUUCGUCUCUUAAAGAGAGUCAGCUGCAGACCACUUGUUCCUCUCAAUCUCAGAUAGGAAACGCUGUGAUUUGGCAGCCGAAGACUUAACGUGGUUUCAGUCAGAGAAAACCGCAGCAUGUGGACACCAGACGCACUCGCACACUCCUCAUAUACCUGCUUUUUUACACGGCGUCCACUGAGGGGCGGAAAACUCCGGUUUGAGCUUUUUUAUCACCGCUAAGAAAUCAGAUUAUUCUCGUUUUAGAUCAGCUCCUUCAGAAUUGGAUUAGAGAAUAAAUGAGCAGAAAUGUGCUGCAAAUGCUGUCAGAGCGUGACCAAGUUUAAACCAGAUUAUCAUGAAGCUCCUCUCUCAGGAGGAUUAGAUUAUGAUGAUGAAGAGGAAGGAUUUUUGAGGAGGACUCUGACGUUUCCUCUCUACCUGUGUGUCUCUGCAUGAUGGGAUACUUAUAUAAUGUGGAUUUACAUUGAGUGUGUGAGUGUGUGUGUGUGUGUGCUGAGGAGGUCAGUAGGUCCGGCUGAGGUGGAGGAAGAUCCACAAUGACAGGAAGAAAGUCUGCAGACGUGAACACAAAGCUGUUAUGAUGCUGCUGCUUCCUCCGGCUGCACCUCGCCGAGUCGCCCCCAUUUCAUCAAAACACACAAACCCAGUUUCUGUCGAAGCAGAUUUGUUAAACUCAAACUAAACCGGGGUUAGUCUCUGCAUCCCGGAAAUAACAGGAAGUUUAGAAUGUAGUUUUUGUUUUUUAAUAAAGGACGACAAACAAGGAAGCAACAUUAAAAAAAGGAGAGACGGAUGAGGAUGUCAAAGAGGAGGAAGGACGACGCCAACAAGAUCGCCGUCUGAGUUUGAUUCAGAAAUAAACACGAAAACAUGAAGCGUCACAAGAGUCAGAGACACCCAAACAGGAAGUGACCUCAUUCUGCGAGAUAUCUGGAAACUUUAUAAAACUUAAAAUAAGUUUUUGACAACUUCUGAUCCUUGAAUCCUCACUUCAUCUACUUCUCCUCACUCGUUUCCUCACUUCUCCUGGCCUUGUUUCCUUACCUGUCUCCUUCGUACCUCUCCUAUCUCCUAUACUGGCCUUCUUUUACUCCCUGUAUUUCACCUCAUUUCCUUUCCUCUCUUGUUUCCUUAUCUCCUUCCUCCUGUGCUUCCAACUCACUUCAACCUCAGUUUUUUCUCCUGUCCUCGUUUCCUUUCCUUUCCUACUCUCAUCUCCUUGUUUGCCAUCUUAACCUUUUCUCUCUCUUUCCACUUGUUUUCGUUUCCUUGUUUCGUUUCCUAUCUCCCCACCUUGUUUCCUUUCAUUUACUCUCACUCUUUUGUUUUCUACUCUCCUUGUUUUCUUUCCUUGUCACCUUCACUUUCCUCAUCCUUGAACCUUUCCUCUCCUCUUCUUAUGUCUCCUUAUUUAGAGUUGCUGUCCUCUCUCCUCUCCUGUUCCCUCCUUUUUACUCCUUCUCUCUGUUUUAUCCUCCUUUUUCUAUCACUUGUCUUUUAUUCAAUUUGUUUCUCCUCUCCUUUCUUUCUUUCUUUCUUUCUUUCUUUUUUGUUUCCAUCUGUUCAUUUUCAUUUUUUCUUU
rnacentral:lncRNA from 1 species